rnacentral:rRNA from 1 species
GACGUAGGGCGCGAGCGUUGUCCGGAUUUAUUGGGCGUAAAGAGCUCGUAGGCGGCUUGUCGCGUCGACUGUGAAAACCCGAGGCUCAACUUCGGGCUUGCAGUCGAUACGGGCAGGCUAGAGUUCGGUAGGGGAGACUGGAAUUCCUGGUGUAGCGGUGAAAUGCGCAGAUAUCAGGAGGAACACCGAUGGCGAAGGCAGGUCUCUGGGCCGAUACUGACGCUGAGGAGCGAAAGCGUGGGGAGCGAGCAGG